rnacentral:rRNA from 1 species
UACGUAGGGUGCAAGCGUUAAUCGGAAUUACUGGGCGUAAAGGGCUCGUAGGCGGCCAACUAAGUCGGAUGUGAAAUCCCCAGGCUUAACCUGGGAAUUGCAUCCGAUACUGGAUGGCUUGAAUCCGGGAGAGGGAUGCGGAAUUCCAGGUGUAGCGGUGAAAUGCGUAGAUAUCUGGAGGAACACCGGUGGCGAAGGCGGCAUCCUGGACCGGCAUUGACGCUGAGGCGCGAAAGCUAGGGGAGCAAACGGG